GAUCUCUAGCGGCGGACGGGUGAGUAAUGCUUAGGAAUCUGCCAUUUAGUGGGGGACAACAUUCCGAAAGGNAUGCUAAUACCGCAUACGUCCUACGGGAGAAAGCAGGGGAUCUUCGGACCUUGCGCUAAAUGAUGAGCCUAAGUCGGAUUAGCUAGUUGGUGGGGUAAAGGCCUACCAAGGCGACGAUCUGUAGCGGGUCUGAGAGGAUGAUCCGCCACACUGGGACUGAGACACGGCCCAGACUCCUACGGGAGGCAGCAGUGGGGAAUAUUGGACAAUGGGCGGAAGCCUGAUCCAGCCAUGCCGCGUGUGUGAAGAAGGCCUUUUGGUUGUAAAGCACUUUAAGCGAGGAGGAGGCUACCUGGAUUAAUACUCUGGGAUAGUGGACGUUACUCGCAGAAUAAGCACCGGCUAACUCUGUGCCAGCAGCCGCGGUAAUACAGAGGGUGCGAGCGUUAAUCGGAUUUACUGGGCGUAAAGCGUGCGUAGGCGG
rnacentral:rRNA from 1 species